rnacentral:rRNA from 1 species
CAGCAGCCGCGGUAAUACCGGCGGCCCGAGUGGCGGUCACUAUUAUUGGGCUUAAAGCGUCCGUAGCCGGGGUGGGAAGUCCUCCGGGAAAUCUGGCCGCUUAAAGGUCAGAAUGCCGGAGGAUACUCCCAGCCUAGGGAGCGGGAGAGGCCGAGGGUAUUCCCGGAGUAGGGGUGAAAUCCUAUAAUCCCGGGAGGACCACCUGUGGCGAAGGCGCUCGGCUGGAACGCGUCCGACGGUGAGGGACGAAGGCCAGGGGAGCAAACCGGAUUAGAUACCCGGGUAGUCCUGGCUGUAAACGAUGCGGACUUUGUGUCGGACAAGCUAUGAGCUUGUCCGGUGCCGGAGGGAAACCGUUAAGUCCGCCGCCUGGGGAGUACGGCCGCAAGGCUGAAACUUAAAGGAAUUGGCGGG